GCAAGCACAAGGAAGUAUCAACGUCUGCAUAUAUUUAUUAGAAAAAAGAUAACAUAAAUAUUGAUUUCCAUACUGACGAGCAAGUUUACUAUAACUAAAGCAGCAAAAGUGUGAGGAAGAAAUGCUUACCACAAACAUUGUGAGCAAGGAUCCUAUCAGUGACAUCACCAGUCCUGAACAAAUAUGCACAAACCAAAACAACAGAACUGAUCAGCAAAUGUUGACAUUACAAGGGGAGAGACUAACUGAUUCAGACUAACCGAAGAAGGGAACCGAGAGACCAACGACCAAUGUGGAGAGAACCAGCAAUGUCCUAAUCCCCUUCCCAAAGAUAUAUGACUUGUUCUUGUUCAUGUUUGCUGGCAU
rnacentral:lncRNA from 1 species